CAGCAGCCGCGGGAAUACAGAGGAUGCAAGCGUUAUCCGGAAUGAUUGGGCGUAAAGCGUCUGUAGGUGGCUUUUCAAGUCCGCCGUCAAAUCCCAGGGCUCUACCCUGGACAGGCGGUGGAAACUACCAAGCAGGAGUACGGUAGGGGCAGAGGGAAUUUCCGGUGGGCGGUGAAAUGCGUUGAGAUCGGAAGGAACGCCCGUGGCGAAAGCGAGGUCCUGGACGUUUACUGACGCUGAGACGCGAAAGCCAGGGGAGCGAACGGGAUUAGAUACCCCCGUAGUCCCUGUCUCUUAUACA
rnacentral:rRNA from 1 species